UUCUGCUUCAGAAACAGGCUCCGAGGUAGGGGGUUCCCAAAUGCAUCAUCAAGUCCUACAAAUAAUCAAGCCGCUAUGACUGUGUUCAUUCUCUCAGAAGUCCCAUCUGAAGGAACUCAGAGUCUACCAGGAGAGAUAGCCAAGUAAACACACGCAUUUGGACAAAGAGUAGAAAAGAAUAUGGAAAUACUACUACAGCGCUGAUAAGGGUGAUCUGCCACGAUAA
rnacentral:lncRNA from 1 species